rnacentral:rRNA from 1 species
CCCUUAGAUGUUCUGGGCCGCACGCGCGCUACACUGAUGCAUUCAACGAGUCUAAAACCUGCUCUGAUAGGGGUGGGUAAUCUUUUGAAUGUGCAUCGUGAUUGGGGUAGAUGAUUGCAAUUUUUCAUCUUCAACGAGGAAUGCCUAGUAAACGCAAGUCAUCAGCUUGCAUUGAUUACGUCCCUGCCCUUUGUACACACCGCCCGUCGCUCCUACCGAUUGAAUGAUCCGAUGAAUAUCAUAGACUGAGAGUAUAAGCAGGUUCGCCUGUCUUUGCUUCUCGGGAAGUGAAGUAAAUCUUAUCAUUUAGAGGAAGGAGAAGUCGUAACA